rnacentral:rRNA from 1 species
CAGCAGCCGCGGGAAUACAGAGGGUGCAAGCGUUAAUCGGAAUUACUGGGCGUAAAGCGCGCGUAGGUGGUUUGUUAAGUUGGAUGUGAAAUCCCCGGGCUCAACCUGGGAACUGCAUCCAAAACUGGCAAGCUAGAGUAUGGUAGAGGGUGGUGGAAUUUCCUGUGUAGCGGUGAAAUGCGUAGAUAUAGGAAGGAACACCAGUGGCGAAGGCGACCACCUGGACUGAUACUGACACUGAGGUGCGAAAGCGUGGGGAGCAAACAGGAUUAGAGACCCCAGUAGUCCCUGUCUCUUAUAC